rnacentral:lncRNA from 1 species
GUUUUUUCCAUCUGGUGGAAUUUGAAUAUGAAUUUAUAAAAUUCACAGGUUUGAGAAUGUAGGGUUUAUUUGAUUUUAGACGUAGAUAUGAAGUUUAAUGAUAAGAGCAGUUAUGCUUUAUUAUGCAGAACCAGAUUAUCUGGUAGAGCAGAUUAGGACCCAUUCAAUAUGUACUUGCAAGGUCAGGUCAUGAAUGGUCACUGCUUGCACUGGAAAAAUAAUGUAUUGUGAUUUUGUGGUAGUUUGUCUUGUGUAUUUCAUGUGAUAAUUCUUGUUUUGUGUCUAACUCUGUCUCAGUCAAAACCAACACACUAAUCUUGUAUUCACUUCCCACUGCAACAUCCAGCACUUCUCUUUUGUGCUUUUUGCUUCAGAGCUCAGCUGCUGCCCCAGAAAUAGCCUGCCCUGGAACCAGGUGUAGCAACUGCUUCUGUCUGACUUCCCACCUGGGCUGGAGUGAGAGCAUAAACACUGCACUGGAAGGACUUUUGCAAAUGCUGAUCACCAUGAAAUCUAACCCCCAUGCCAUUUCUGUGCAAGCAGUUCCUGCCACUCUCCCACUGAUGCCUAUUCUUCUGGACCUCAGAUUUCAUUUGAGCAGUAAGUAAGGAUUUUACAUUGUUGACAAAUUUACAGCUAUCUGGUGCCUGAAUUACAAUGACACUGUGCAGUAAGCGCAAACUGGCAGAAAGAAUCUCAGUCACAAUUCAGACUAUCUGGAAUUUAACAGUCAUCAAGAGAUUGUCUCUUCCCAAUAUAUUUAGCAACAAAAACUAUCUAAACUAUUAUUAAAAAUCCUUAUUUGUUCUAUUCUGAUGGAACCUUGUAGGUAUGAAUUUGUCAGUGUUGAAACCAUCUAAACUUGGUCCAACUAAAAUCCCUUCUGUGUCUGUAUCUGGUUUAUUAUCUGUGUUAUCUGAACAGCUAGUGAUGGUUUCUGCAGAGCACAGUACACCUCAGAAUCCACAUGUCCUGCAAUCUGCCUGUCUUCCAAGCAAGACUAGUUAACAACAUUGAUGAAAAAUUAUUAUAUGCCACAAAAUAAUUUUCAUAUUUAAAUUUCUCAUAAUAGUCAAGGAGGAAGCACACUCUAAUGAAAAUGAUGCAGAAAAUAAAAGUUACAUAGCUUAGAAAAAAAUAAGUUGU